GAUGAACGCUGGCGGCGUGCCUAAUACAUGCAAGUCGAGCGAACAGACGAGUAGCUUGCUCCUCUGUCGUUAGCGGCGGACGGGUGAGUAACACGUGGAUAACCUACCUAUAAGACUGGGAUAACUUCGGGAAACCGGAGCUAAUACCGGAUAAUAUAUUGAACCGCAUGGUUCAAUAGUGAAAGACGGUUUUGCUGUCACUUAUAGAUGGAUCCGCGCCGCAUUAGCUAGUUGGUAAGGUAACGGCUUACCAAGGCAACGAUGCGUAGCCGACCUGAGAGGGUGAUCGGCCACACUGGAACUGAGACACGGUCCAGACUCCUACGGGAGGCAGCAGUAGGGAAUCUUCCGCAAUGGGCGAAAGCCUGACGGAGCAACGCCGCGUGAGUGAUGAAGGUCUUCGGAUCGUAAAACUCUGUUAUUAGGGAAGAACAAAUGUGUAAGUAACUAUGCACGUCUUGACGGUACCUAAUCAGAAAGCCACGGCUAACUACGUG
rnacentral:rRNA from 1 species